GCAUCUCCCUUACACUGAGAAGUCAUCCGUGCAAGUCGGAUUACCCUGAAC
rnacentral:tRNA from 1 species